CUCCACCUGGGAAAGGUGAUGGUGGAUCUGGAUUUUAGGGAUGCUACCACGGAAACCAUGUUGACAACCACAACCUAGUCAAAUUCUUCAGCACUGCAGGGCCAUCUACAGCCCAUACAUCUGAGAGCCCACCAGCUCUGAGCCUCGGAC